rnacentral:rRNA from 1 species
GACGAACGCUGGCGGCGUGCUUCAUACAUGCAAGUCGAACGAGAAAGUUUCCUUCGGGAAGCGAGUAAAGUGGCGAACGGGUGCGUAACACGUGGGCAAUCUGCCCUGAAGUCUGGGAUAACAUUCCUAACGGAGUGCUAAUACCGGAUGUGCUCCUGGAGGGGCAUCCCUCCGUGAGUAAAGAUGGCGCGUAAGCGCUGUCGCUUCUGGAUGAGCCCGCGGCCUAUUAGCUUGUUGGCGGGGUAACGGCCCACCAAGGCAACGAUGGGUAGCCGGCCUGAGAGGGUGACCGGCCACAUUGGGACUGAGAUACGGCCCAGACUCCUACGGGAGGCAGCAGUAGGGAAUAUUGCGCAAUGGGCGAAAGCCUGACGCAGCAACGCCGCGUGAGUGAUGAAGGCCUUCGGUUGUAAAACUCUGUCAGAUGGGAAGAACCUUGACCGAUUUAUAAGAUACGGACAACUGACGGUACCAUCAGAGGAAGCUCCGGCUAACUCCGUCG